rnacentral:lncRNA from 1 species
GCUCAAAAAUUCUUGAAGGGUCUUAGGGCAGAUAUAUUUGACUGCGUUGCUAUAUUGAAUCCUAUCUCUUAUGCUAAAGUUAUUGAACAUGCCAAAUUGGUCAAAAAACUUAUACGUUUUGACACUAGUGUUUCACCCACAUUCGUACCCAAUAGUAGCAAAAGAGGAAGAUGACUAACCCUGGCCCGACCGUGUUGAUAAGAUAUU